rnacentral:rRNA from 1 species
CGGUAGAGAGAAGCUUGCUUCUCUUGAGAGCGGCGGACGGGUGAGUAAUGCCUAGGAAUCUGCCUGGUAGUGGGGGAUAACGCUCGGAAACGGACGCUAAUACCGCAUACGUCCUACGGGAGAAAGCAGGGGACCUUCGGGCCUUGCGCUAUCAGAUGAGCCUAGGUCGGAUUAGCUAGUUGGUGAGGUAAUGGCUCACCAAGGCGACGAUCCGUAACUGGUCUGAGAGGAUGAUCAGUCACACUGGAACUGAGACACGGUCCAGACUCCUACGGGAGGCAGCAGUGGGGAAUAUUGGACAAUGGGCGAAAGCCUGAUCCAGCCAUGCCGCGUGUGUGAAGAAGGUCUUCGGAUUGUAAAGCACUUUAAGUUGGGAGGAAGGG